rnacentral:rRNA from 1 species
GUCUACGGCCAUACCACCCCGAAGGCUCCCGAUCUCAUCUGAUCUCGGAAGCUAAACAGGGUCAGGCCUGGUUAGUACUUGGAAGGGAGAGAAAGGGCACAUUUUUAGUGAGCGUAGAUU